rnacentral:rRNA from 1 species
GGGCCCGCACAAGCAGUGGAGUAUGUGGUUUAAUUCGAAGCAACGCGAAGAACCUUACCAGGGCUUGACAUGCAGGUGAAUAAUGCAGAGAUGUAUUAGUCCUUCGGGACACCUGUGCAGGUGGUGCAUGGUUGUCGUCAGCUCGUGUCGUGAGAUGUUGGGUUAAGUCCCGCAACGAGCGCAACCCCUGUUGUUAGUUGCCAUCAUUAAGUUGGGCACUCUAACGAGACUGCCGGUGACAAAUCGGAGGAAGGUGGGGACGACGUCAAAUCAUCAUGCCCCUUAUGUCCUGGGCUACACACGUACUACAAUGGCUAUAACAGCAGGAAGCGAAAGCGCAAGCUGGAGCAAAUCCUCAAAAAUAGUCCCAGUUCAGAUUGUGGGCUGCAACCCGCCCACAUGAAGUCGGAAUUGCUAGUAAUGGCAGGUCAGCAUACUGCCGUGAAUACGUUCCCGGGCCUU